UAGUAAUCGCAGAUCAGAAUGCUGCGGUGAAUACGUUCCCGGGCCUUGUACACACCGCCCGUCACACCAUGGGAGCCGGUAAUACCCGAAGUCAGUAGUCUAACCGCAAGGGGGGACGCUGCCGAAGGUAGGAUUGGCGACUGGGGUGAAGUCGUAACAAGGUAAC
rnacentral:rRNA from 1 species